AUGCGGAGAUGGUGCCUGCUGGGGGGCUCCCUGAGGGCCUCACCCCCCGGGCUGGAGCUGCUGAGGGUGGAGCCUCAGGGAAGAGGGACCCCAGUGGCACCAGGUCAGCUGUGGGGGCUGGGGCUGGGCUCUGGACUGGCUGUCCCUCCCGGAUCAGCUGUGGGGACUGGGGUGGCUGUGUCUCCCGGCUCAGCUGUGGGGGCUGGGCUCUGUGCUGGCUGUCCCUCCUGGGUCAGCUGUGGGGGCUGGGCUCUGGGCUGGCUGUCCCUCCCGGAUCAGCUGUGGGGACUGGGGUGGCUGUCCCUCCCGGGUCAGCUGUGGGGGCUGGGCUCUGUGCUGGCUGUCCCUCCUGGGUCAGCUGUGGGGGCUGGGCUCUGGGGUGGCUGUCCCUCCCGGGUCAGCUGUGGGGGCUGGGCUCUGUGCUGGCUGUCCCUCCCGGGUCAGCUGUGGGGGCUGGGCUCUGGGGUGGCUGUCCCUCCCGGGUCAGCUGUGGGGGCUGGGCUCUGUGCUGGCUGUCCCUCCCGGGUCAGCUGUGGGGGCUGGGCUCUGGGCUGGCUGUCCCUCUCCUGCCAGCCCCUGGCUUCCUCUCCGGAGCAUCCUGGGUGCUUCUCCUUCACCCGAAGCCACCGUCUUCCGUCACGACUCAGGGGUUCCCUGUGGCACCCACCUUUUCCCAGGAGUGAGCCCUACCUCUCACCCGCUGCUCCAGCUCUGCCCCCCACCCUGUGUGGGUUCACAACAUCUCUUGGGGGUGCACCUGACCCUGGCAGUGCACCCCAGUGCCCUUCCCGGAGACGAGGGGCCUUGAUCCCACAGCCCUUGAAGGGCGUUCCGGCUGGCAUCGGCGUCUGGGCUGAGAUCUGUCCCCGAGCCCUGAGCACCCCCGUCCUGGGCCCCAGGGUGGACCCCAGAGUGGCUCCCUGGGCGCUUGUGUCACUGGACCCUGGAGGACCCACGUCCGGGAGGAGGGCUCGGCAGGCUCGGCUCCUCCUGCGGCUGGUGGCUGCUGGUCACCCUCGCUGCCCUGGACCCCUCCGCACACGGCUCCUCCUCUGCGUGUCCACGUGGACACCAGCCACCUGGGGCUUAGGGCCAUGUCGGGCUAAAGCUUUUCUUUUUUUUUUUUUUUAA
rnacentral:lncRNA from 1 species